rnacentral:lncRNA from 1 species
AGUAAAUUUGGACGUGGUAUCAAGAGGGUUUUAAAAAAAAAAUGAUUGAUGAGAGGCGAAGGGGACGAGUUUUCAACAGUGGAAAUAUGUGAAUUGUCAAGUCAUUUUGCUGCAACGAACAUUUGCUUCAACUCUUCAAUUGAAUAGGACUUUGGUCAAGUACCCUCGCUGGUCUUUAAGGACAUUUCUGAUGAGGGCCUAAGGAGACGCUCAACUUUAUUAGUAACUUCCCCAGGGGAAAAUCCAGAUGAAUCGGAAUGCAUAUCAGAAUUUUUUUAAAUUCUAUCUGAAGGAAUAAACCUACAAACUUCACCAGAUCCAGCUCAAUUCUUCGAAACCAAUUUUCUGGAUCCAUCGCCGAGAAUUUUGUAAGACGUAGUUCGGCUACGACAAGAAUUAAGUUGCUCACCUCUUCCGCUACGUACUAUUGUUCGAUCUGAGGGAUAUUGUCUGCAUUAUCUUGACCAUUAAAAUGAGAUUUUUAAGGAGGCAUGAUAUCACGUCGGGGUCACUAAUGUUAAGAUUUAAAUAUCUUUAUUUUAACUGAGUAAAAAUGAUGCUUCCUUUAUACGAAAAUAAAAAAGAAUACAAGGUACUAUGGUGAAUGAUUAAUAUCAU